UAUGAAAACAACGUUAUAAAUUCAAAUACUGAUACCUACCUGUCUGUGUUUAUUCAAGGCAGAUUGCGUUAUUUAUUUUUGCCUUCUAUUCAUAUUGUUCAACCAUGCUAUCUGCCAGAGUUGCAAUGGUUCAGGUCCUCCGCUCCCUCUCCUCUAGCACUCCUGCUGCUUGUAAAUUCCGUCUUCCGGAAGAGGCAAAGCAGGAAUUCAGUAAUCCCGCCGCCAAGUACACCACUGCUCAAGAUAUUCCAGAGAAGGGGAAAAUCUAUGAUAAGAAACCAUUUAUGAUUGAAGUGAAGAAGGGAAAAACGUACAUGUGGUGUGCCUGUGGGCAUAGCCGAAAACAGCCCCUGUGCGACGGCAGCCACCGCAACCCAUUCAAGGCCAUCCAACAGCGGCCGGUGAAAUACGUGGCGGAUGCGGACAAGGAGGUAUGGUUCUGUAUGUGCAAGCAGACCGACCACCGGCCCUUCUGUGACGGCUCGCACAAGCAUCCCGACGUCCAGGCGGCGGUCAGGGGCCACUGAGACGUCCAGUGUCCCAUGCUGGUGUCCCGGGGCUGAUGGAGUUGUUGGUGUAGUGUCUGUCCUAGAGCUGAGUAUGGUGAGGAGUGGUUGGUAUAUGCUUCAGGAGAAGCCUGACAGUGGGAACUUGAUAGCAGGAGGGUGAGUGCUGAUGUGAAAGCUAGAUACAUGGGUGCCAAUGGGGAGUUACUGCCGGGAAAGUGUUGAAAUGAAUGAGACAUGGAUGAAAUCGUGGUGUGAUUGUGCUGUUUUGAUACGAUUUUAGAUCCGAUAUCGUGAUGGAUGUACGAUCAAGGGGGGAGGGGAGGAACGCGGGACGAAGUACGGUGAAAAGUGAUAGAUAUUUUGAAUGUGGGGAAGAUGUAUUAUCUGUCAUUCUAUUACCAGUAUUGAUUCUCUACAUCGUAGAUCGACUCAGUCGUUAGUGUCACUGUGUGCCCAUUGCAUAGGUAUGCAUCUUCCGAAAACAAUAUACCGUCAGCUGUCAAA